UACCAGCACCCCGAGUGGUCGGGACGUUUAUUGGGCCUAAAGCAUCCGUAGCCGGUUCUACAAGUCUUCCGUUAAAUCCACCUGCUCAACAGAUGGGCUGCGGAAGAUACUAUGGAGCUAGGAGGCGGGAGAGGCAAGCGGUACUCGAUGGGUAGGGGUAAAAUCGUUGAUCCAUUGAAGACCACCAGUGGCGAAGGCGGCUUGCCAGAACGCGCUCGACGGUGAGGGUA
rnacentral:rRNA from 1 species